UAAGGAUGGAGGACAUGGCACAGGGAUGGAGGAUGAGGAUAAGAAUGCAGGACAUGGCACAAGGAUGGAGGACGAGGAUAAGGAUGGAGGACAUGGCACAGGGAUGGAGGACGAGGAUAAGGAUGGAGGACUUGGCACAGAGAUGGAGGAUGAGAAUAAGGAUGGAGGACAUGGCACAGGGAUGGAGGACGAGGAUAAGGAUGGAGGACAUGGCACAGGGAUGGAGGAUGAGGAUAAGGAUGGAGGACAUGGCACAGAGAUGGAGGACGAGGAUAAGGAUGCAGGACAUGGCACAGGGAUGGAGGAUGAGGAUAAGGAUGCAGGACAUGGAGUGAGGACACGAGUCCAGCCCUGGCCAGCUGCUGCCAGGAGCUCUGCUGCUCCCCACCGCUCCCGGCACGGGGCAGGCGGGUACCGGCGCCGCAUCCCGCGCUCUAUUGACACUUAUCCGUAAUCUGAAGGAAUUCAAGACAAAUGGUUAAGGGGAUGGAGUUAAUAAAAUUUGAAAAAUUGAGGCCUGUCACUCCGCUAAACUUUUUUCGAUACCACUGGCAGAAACAUAUUUCCCCAAUGAGUGACCUUCCGCAGCUGCUCCAGCGUGGUGCGCGCGGGCGCUGGCGGUGAGCUGCUGUGCCAUUCAUCAAAUAUGAUAAGCUGGGGCCUCCUCGCACGAGCAGGAGGUGCAGGAAGCACAGCCCGAGGUGCUGCCCAGGUGUUGGCUCUGUGACAGCAGCGGGAGGUGACGAAUGGCCUCCCAUUAUGGCGGCGUGGGUGGUGGUGGGGCGGCGAGGUCAGGCCGCCGGCCGCGGCGGUGUUCCAUUAGCAGGGGGGUGACAGCGUUAUUUAUGGCGGCGGUGCCGGAGGUGGGGAUCGACCGGUUGGACGAGCCGGGUUCUAUCAAUUAUUGCAGCAAUUAGUCAAGUCGUCAAAGCCGUUAACGGGGGGAUUAGGCCAAUAUUGGAUGGAUGGCCGCUAUUGAUAGGUCCGGGGGAUGGAGGACCAACCCUCAGCCGUCGGGAAGGGAAAGACUCAAGGAUGGCGUCGUGGGGAGGGUCCAACCCAACAGAGCCCCCUCCUCACUGCCUCCCCCCGCAGGGGAUGAGCACCGGCCCCGUGCUGCAUCCCAUCCCCUGCCUCCAUCAUCUUCCUCAUCCGCCGCGACAGGGCUGGAGCUGGAAAUCGCUCCGUGCCGAAUGUUUAUGGAGGGCAUCUUUCAUUCUGUAAGCACGUGUGGGUUCCCAAGGCUCAGCAGCGCUCGGCUCCCUGCUCCCAGCUCACCCAACCCUCAUGGCUGCUGUGCACUCACACAUCUGUGAACGUGCCAGGAGAUGUGUCUGAUUCCCAGGAGCCAGAGCUGGAUCCCAUGGUGCCAUGCUGUGUCUUUUCUAUUCCCUUGGAGCCAUAUUCGUGUCCCUCCUGUUCCCUUGGAGCCAUAUUCGUGUCCCUCCUAUUCCCUUGGAGCCAUAUUCGUGUCCCUCCUAUUCCCUUGGAGCCAUAUUCGUGUCCCUCCUGUUCCCUUGGUGCCACAUUCGUGUCCCUCCUAUUCCCCUGGUGCCAUAUUCAUGUCCCUCCUAUUCCCUUGGUGCCACAUUCGUGUCCCUCCUGUUCCCUCGGUGCCACAUUCGUGUCCCUCCUAUUCCCCUGGUGCCAUAUUCGUGUCCCUCCUAUUCCCUUGGUGCCACAUUCGUGUCCCUCCUAUUCCCUUGGUGCCACAUUCAUGUCCCUCCUAUUCCCUUGGUGCCACAUUCGUGUCCCUCCUGUUCCCUUGGAGCCACAUUCAUGUCCCUCCUAUUCCCCUGGUGCCAUAUUCAUGUCCCUCCUAUUCCCUUGGUGCCACAUUCGUGUCCCUCCUAUUCCCCUGGUGCCAUAUUCAUGUCCCUCCUAUUCCCCUGGUGCCACAUUCAUGUCCCUCCUAUUCCCUUGGAGCCAUAUUCGUGUCCCUCCUAUUCCCUUGGUGCCACAUUCGUGUCCCUCCUAUUCCCCUGGUGCCAUACCCAUGUCCUUCCUAUUCCCAUAGUGCCAUCCUUGUGUCCCUCCUAUUGCCAUGGUGCCAUACCGGUGUCCCUCUUACUCCCCUUGUGCCACACUCGUGUCUCCCCUAUUGCCCCACAUCUCUGCCUCCUGACCUUGGCCUGCCCAGCUCUUUGCACCCACACCGCUGCUUCCCAAACAAACUGGGACCGGUUUGUGCUCAGCAUGCAGGUUUGGCUCUCUGUGGGCGCCCGCGCAGCUCCCCACAGCAGUUCAGCCUCUGGACUUUACUGGUUCUUUGUUCCCAAUGUAAUCCCAAGGAAGAGAGAGGUUUCCCCCUGCAGCCCUUGGGAUUGCUCGGAGCAAAGGUCAGAACAGGACACCCACCCGGGAGAUGCGCUGUGUGCCCCCUCUGCCCCAGGGCUCCCUGACCUCCUCCCUUUCUUCCUGCCAACAGGUGCCAACCCCCUGCAGAAGAACGAGAUGGGCCACACGCCGCUGGAUUACGCCCGCGAAGGGGAGGUGAUGAACCUCCUGAAGGCAUCGGAGGCAAAGUUCCAGGAGGAGCAGCGUCGCCGGGAAGUGGAGGAGCGCCGCAGGUUCCCUCUGGAGCAGAGGCUGAAGGAGCACAUCAUCGGCCAGGAGAGUGCCAUAGCCACGGUGGGGGCAGGUGAGGUCCAAACCACUUUUGUCUUAGGAAUGUUAAUCAUUAAUAGCUCACUGAUGGCUCUGUAGGGCAGUUUGUACAUAAACACUCCCCACGUGGGGGGUUUCUCUGUGCUCCUCACCCACGUGGGGCUUUGUUCCAUGAGGAAAAUAGGAGUGCACGUGGUUACGCUUCACACGGAGUCAGAGAUCCAUAGGGGACCUCUGCAGAUCCCCCAGUCCAUCCCUCUGCUAAAGGAGGUUUCCUAGAGCAGGCUGCAAGAUCCCCUCUCAUCCUUCUCUCCCCCGGCUGCUCAGCCUUCAGCCUGUCCCCACCAGGAGCAGCUCCAGGCCCCCACCAUCUCUGCACCCUCACUGGGCUCUCCCCAGCAGUUCCCUUUCUGCCUGGAGCUGGGGAGCCCAGCACUGGGUGCAGUGCUUCAGAUGUGGCCCCCCCAGGGCAGAGCAGAGGGAAAGAG